UACUAUUGCAAAAACGGUAAUUAGAUCACCGUUACUUUCCCGUAGGAACGCUGCGUUACUGCGUUACUAAAACCGUGAUUUUUUUGCGAGAAUGUCUCAUGACAGUGACGUAAGCGAGUGCAACAUUCGUGAAAACAGCUGUGUGCAGAUCAACAAUGGAUAAUAUAUUGAGUGCAGGAGAGAGUAUGAGCGUGCAGCGUUUAAAGCGUGGAAGUACUGACCUUAUUUUGAGUUUGAUUCCAUAAAAAGUGACAAAAAUAUUAGUGUCCGUUGUGUGUGGGAACAAAACUUCUUUUUACAGCGAAACCCCCCCCCCCCCCCAAACUUCUAAGCAAGCACCGAGUGCGCUACGACAUAAUGGGAAACUCACAGAGAAACUCCUGCUAUACAGGUGAAAAUAUAGCAACAGGACCGCAAGUCUUUGAUUUUAUUUAUUUUCUGCCGUGUUUUACUUGCAUCUAUUUGAAGGAGUGAGUGUAAACAAAAAUAUAUUUUAUUUUAUGUGCUGGAAUGUGUAGAAAAUAGGUUUAAAUGUUAAACAAAUUUCUUCCAGUCAGAGAAUGUUGCAUAUAAUUAAAAUUUUGCUUGAUGCAUAAAGUUAAAAGGUUAAAACUAAUAAACCAAGUUUUUAAAAAGAGACUUUUCCAUUUGAUUACAUUUUGUAUGAUGGAUUAUGCAGAAAAAGUAGAAUUGGACUGAAAGAUCUAUUGCUUUCCAUACUUUAUCACCUAUUCAGGUUGUAAAUCGUGUUUUUUAAAAGUAACUAAGUAACUAAUAACGGGAUUACUUUUUUGGGGAAGUAAUCCGUAAUUAGUUACUGAUUACAUUUUUCAAGUAACUUGACCAACACUGCUCCUGUGUGCUGCAGCUCCAGUGCUGUGUCAGAAUGAUGUAAAACAACAGCACUGUUCCUGUUAGCAUGUCAGUUCAUUAGCAGGAAUGUGCACAUUGUAGUGAAUUUUAGUUCAAUUCUAUAUACACGAUCAUCCUGCCAUUAUUCCUCAUUAGUUUACCAAAUAUUUAUUAACAUGCUACUAAAAUUAGGUUCCCACUGUUUUUGUGUUACAGUAAAAAUUGUUGAAAAUAUAUCUGCGCUGGGAUAUUAAUGCAUCAUUUUAAAAUACUAAAAAUGUAGAUUUGUGACCAGAUCUGUAAAGAUGUACAACUUCUGCAGGGAUGUGGGUUAAGAGCCAUAUACAGGUAUAGCAAACUCAGGGAGAGAGAGAUGAUCAUUGUUCUGAGGAUUAUUGUCACUGUAUUUGUGUGCAUGACACAUGAGUAAACUGUCCUCUAAGACAGAGGUGUCACAGAAGCUGUAGUCAGGUUAAGUCGUAGUACAAAACAAAUUUUUGGAGAUUUUUAUGAUUGUGUGUAUUGAUUUGAAUGUUUGUUUGUUUUUUGUCAUGCACUCACUGUGAUGUUCUUCUGUUGCACAUCCAUGACUUGAAUUAACUCUUGAGAAACUUACCUAUGAUAACAGUAAUGGUUAUCUGUCUGUAUCAUAUCAGCUAUCCACUGACUUUCUGACUACAUGAAUGACUAAUGAGCUAUUGUACUUAUUGUGAUUCUUUUGGGAAUAGAAAUGUAAUAUUAAUCAUUUUGUGCAAGUAAAAACUAUAAUAUUUUCUCCAUAUCUGUUAGAUUUAAAAAAAAGAUUAUAAUGAUUCAUUCUCAUCCUGUUUUUCCUGUAAAGAAAUGAAUUUAAAAAAUCUA
ensembl:lncRNA